AUGAAGAGAAGUCAAGAAGAGUCGUUAGUAUUAGAGAAAAGGCUUAGAGCUUGAUUCAGGCUUCUAAGCAAGUCUUUGUUGAAGGGACUACUAACUUCUGAUUCUAGUUAUCUUCAAGGAGUCUCUAGUAAAUGUCCUCCUCUAGCUAGCAGUGCAGUACCUAUGACUAGACCUGUCAAUUCCAGUGGUCCUCAAGUUUCUCUAGCAGAACCACAACCUAUUACUCCCCAGUUUGAUAAUAAUAUUUUUGUGCCUAACUCCAUUGAUCAGUCUCAUCCUAAGGAUCCUCAUGUGUCUCAAUCUGCUCCCACUACUGAUACGGAAGACUCUGCUGAGAGCGCAGACUAA